rnacentral:lncRNA from 1 species
AAAGAACUGGAAAUAAAACUCAAGAGAGCUACAAAAGUUAUUUAGAGAUGUUACCCCUUCUUUCCAUUUGCUUCUCUGAGUCCUAAAUGAAAACAUACAGCUUUAAUGAAUUUGUUCUUCAGGGAAAAUGCUCAUGAAUACUGCUGAAAGUGUUGCAUGAGAAAAGCCUGCACAAGCAGGUCAAAAAACUGAGGAGUUUGAUUGUGUUUCAGAGAAGGGAGAAGAGUCAGAAGGAAGAAAAUCUUUGAUCCCCUACUCAAUAUGGAAGAGGAUUUAGUUGGAUUUUCUUCUAAUCGCUGUCUCUUAAUAUCUACAGUCUUCCUCCAUAAGGCUUCAGGAUUGCCAAAUCAUCCAGAUUGGCGGGGACCUUGGGAGGUCCCUAGUGUAACUUCUUGCUAAAAGCAGGAUCAGCAGAGUCUAGACCAGUUUGCUUAAGGCCUUGUCCAAGGAAGAUGAGUCCAUAACUUCUCUGGGCAAGCCUCUUCCAGUGUUUAUUCAUCCUCACAGGGAAGAUUAUUUUCUUUUAUAUCCAGCAUGAACCUUGCUUGUUUCAGUACAUGACCGCUGUCUCCCAUUCCUCUGCCCAGCACCUCCAUAAGGAUCCUGGCUUCACCUGCUCAGUAACCUCCUCGUAGGUAUGGGAAGGGGCUGUUAGGUCUCCUCAAAAUCCCCUCUUCAUCACGACGAACAAGCCCAGCUUCCUCAGCCUUCUCUCAUAGGGCUAGUGCUCCAGCUCCCAAACAUGGUGGCUCUCCAGUGGUCUUGCUCUGGCUUUGGGACACCCAAACCUGGGCAUAAUAUUCUAUUAUUGUUAUUUAUUAUUUUAGAUCACAUUUUGAAGAAUUAAUGAAUUAAGUGUAUUUUAAGAAUUUAAAGAAGGUGAAGAUUGACUCAGAAAUAGAGUUGGAAGCUGGGUCAUAUAUAUAUUUCUUUUUGAAGUUUGGAUGUAAAGCUUGUGAGGAUUACUGAUUUCUUUCACUGAAAAUAAAGAUCCAUCUCUUCUACUGCA